UUACGACCACAUCACAUUGAAACAUCGAUUCCCGCACGAUCACCGAAGUUAAGCAACGUCGAGACUGUUCAGUACCUAGAUGGGUGACAGUUUGGAAAUAUCAGAUGCUGAAA